AUACUUACCUGGCGUAGGGGAUACCGUGAUCAUGCAGGCGGUUCCCUCGGGCGAGGCUGCUCCAUUGCACUGCGGAGUGGUUGACCCUUGCGAUUAUCCCUAAUGCGGAUAACUCGGACGCGUAAUUUUUGUUAUUUAUAUUAUAUAUAUAUUACAUUAU
rfam:Bombyx mori DNA, contig: Bm_scaf11_contig9425, strain: p50T/Dazao, build 2, whole genome shotgun sequence.